rnacentral:tRNA from 1 species
CCCUGGUUAGCUGAGUUGGUAGAGCGCUCCACUUGUAAUGGAGAGGUCCCGGGUUCGAUACCCGGACCAGGCG